AUUGAACGCUGGCGGCAGGCUUAACACAUGCAAGUCGAACGAGUGGCGGACGGGUGAGUAAUGCUUGGGAAUCUGCCUUAUGGAGGGGGAUAACGACGGGAAACUGUCGCUAAUACCGCGUACCAUAGGAUGUACCCAAGUGGGAUUAGGUAGUUGGUGGGGUACUGGCGUACCAAGGCGACGAUCUCUAGCUGGUCUGAGAGGAUGACCAGCCACACCGGGACGGAGACACGGCCGUGACUCCUACGGGAGGCAGCAGGGGGGAAUAUUGCGCAAUGGGGGCAAGCCUGAGGCAGCCAUGCCGCGUGAAUGAAGAAGGCCUUCGGGUUGUAAAGUUCUUUCGGUGACGAGGCGUUAAUCACAGAAGAAGCACCGGCUAACUCCGUGCCAGCAGCCGCGGUAAUUC
rnacentral:rRNA from 1 species